rnacentral:rRNA from 1 species
GGGGAAUAUUGGACAAUGGGCGCAAGCCUGAUCCAGCCAUGCCGCGUGAGUGAUGAAGGCCCUAGGGUUGUAAAGCUCUUUCAACGGUGAAGAUAAUGACGGUAACCGUAGAAGAAGCCCCGGCUAACUUCGUGCCAGCAGCCGCGGUAAUACGAAGGGGGCUAGCGUUGUUCGGAAUUACUGGGCGUAAAGCGCACGUAGGCGGAUACUUAAGUUAGGGGUGAAAUCCCGGGGCUCAACCCCGGAACUGCCUUUAAUACUGGGUAUCUCGAGUUCGAGAGAGGUGAGUGGAAUUCCGAGUGUAGAGGUGAAAUUCGUAGAUAUUCGGAGGAACACCAGUGGCGAAGGCGGCUCACUGGCUCGAUACUGACGCUGAGGUGCGAAAGCGUGGGGAGCAAAC